GAUGAACGCUGGCGGCGUGCCUAAUACAUGCAAGUCGAGCGAAAUUUCGGGAGCUUGUUCCCAAAAGUUAGCGCCAGACGGGUGAGUAACACGAGGGCAACCUACCUGUCAGAUUGGGAUAACUUCGGGAAACCGGAGCUAAUAUAGGAUAACAUUGAACCCAACAUGGCAAUCAAUUAAACGUUGGACUUUAGCCGACACUUUCAGAUGGUCUCGCGGUGCCUAAGGUAGUUGGUGAGGUAACGGCUCAACAACGCGACGAAGCGUAGCCGACCUGAGAGGGGUGUCGGCCACAAUUGGACUUGAGCAAGGCUCAAGCUCCUACGGGGGGGAGCAGGAGGGGAACUUCGGCAAUGGGCGAAAGUCUGAAGGAACAAAUCCGGGGGGGGUAAAGAAGGCUUCCGGUCGUAAAGGUCCUUUUGUUGGGAAGGAAAAGCAGCAGGCGAAUACGGCGCUACUUUGACGGUACCUAACGAAUAAGCAACGGCUAACUACGUG
rnacentral:rRNA from 1 species